GCUUUCGCGGUGCAAUGGUCAGCACACUCGGCGUGUAUUCGAGAGAUCGGAGGUUCGAGUCCCGGCGAGGGCA
rnacentral:tRNA from 1 species